rnacentral:rRNA from 1 species
GAUGAACGCUGGCGGCGUGCCUAAUACAUGCAAGUCGAGCGAACAGACGAGGAGCUUGCUCCUUUGACGUUAGCGGCGGACGGGUGAGUAACACGUGGAUACCCUACUUAUAAGACUGGGAUAACUUCGGGAAACCGGAGCUCAUACCGUAUAACAUGUUGAACUGCAUGGUUCAACAGUGAAUGACGGUCUUGCUGUCUCUUAUAGAUACAUCCGCGCCGCAUUUGCUAGUUGGUAAGGUAACGGCUUACCAAGGAAACGAUCCGUGACAGACCUGAGAGGGUGACCGCCCACACUGGAACUGAGACACGGUCCAGACUCCUACGGGAGGCAGCAGUAGGGAAUCUUCCGCAAUGGGCGAAAGCCUGACGGAGCAACGCCGCGUGAGUGAGGAAGUUCUUCGGAUCGUAAAACUCUGUUAUUAGGGAAGAACAAAUGUGUAAGUAACUAUGCACGUCUUGACGGUACCUAAUCAGAAAGCCACGGCUAACUACGUG